CGCGUAGGUGGUUUGUUAUGUCAGAUGUGAAAGUCCACGGCUCAACCGUGGAAGUGCAUUUGAAACUGGCAGACUUGAGUACUGGAGGGGGUAGUGGAAUUCCCGGUGUAGAGGUGAAAUUCGUAGAUAUCGGGAGGAAUACCGGUGGCGGAGGCGACUGCCUGGCCAGAUACUGACACUGAGGUGCGAAAGCGUGGGGAGCAAACA
rnacentral:rRNA from 1 species